AACGAACGCUGGCGGCAGGCCUAACACAUGCAAGUCGAACGGCUGUAGCAAUACAGCCGUGGCGCACGGGUGAGUAACGCGUGGGAAUCUGCCCAGUAGUACGGAAUAACAGUUGGAAACGACUGACAAUACCGUAUACGCCCUUCGGGGGAAAGUUUUUCGCUAUUGGAUGAGCCCGCGUCAGAUUAGCUAGUUGGUGGGGUAAUGGCCUACCAAGGCGACGAUCUGUAGCUGUUCUGAGAGGAAGACCAGCCACACUGGAACUGAGACACGGUCCAGACUCCUACGGGAGGCAGCAGUGGGGAAUAUUGGACAAUGGGCGAAAGCCUGAUCCAGCCAUGCCGCGUGAGUGAUGAAGGCCUUAGGGUUGUAAAGCUCUUUUGGCGGGGAAGAUAAUGACGGUACCCGCAGAAUAAGUUCCGGCUAACUUCGUGCCAGCCGCCGCAGUAA
rnacentral:rRNA from 1 species